ensembl:lncRNA
CAAUAGUCUAAUAAUGACAUUAUUAAGAAAAAUACAUGGUUGUUUUUUCAAGACUUGUUCAAGACUUGAAAAGUUUGGGACUUAGACUUGGACUUGCUUUGGUGUGACUUUGACUUGGACUGGACUUGCCUUUCCCUGUCUUGACUUGGGACUCGACUCGGACUUGACUACUAAGACUUGGGACUUACUUGGGUCUUGCAAAACAGUGACUUUGUCCCACCUCUGUCCGUUUCAUUCAAACAUACACAUUCAAACACACAACAUACACUACUAUUCUCUCUCACAUACAUUACUAUUCUCUCUCACAUACCCAAAUAUACUCUCUCACAUACACUACUAUACUCUCUCAAAUACACUACUAUACUCUCUCACAUACACGACUAUACACUCAUACAUGCAUGUAAAAGGAGUAUAAUAGUGUGUGUGUAUGAGUAUAGUGGUGUAUAUGCAAGAUUAUAAUAGUGUGUGUAAGACCAAGUAUGAAUUCUGUCCCAGGUGGCCCCUCAUAGUUAAGGGAUGCUUACCGUGAUGCUACUGUAUCUAACAGGAUUUAGUUUUCACCUACAGUAGUAGGUGAAAACUAACAUAUUGUUGUAUAUUGUUUUUGUAUUUUUGUAGAUUAUUGACAUUGAAACUUUUAAUAUUUAUCAAUAACGUUACUAUUAUAUUAUUAUAUUAAGGGAGAGAGGAAAAUGAGAGGGAGACAGUUGACGGAAACAAGGAAAAUGAGAGUGAAAAUGAAGAAAGUUCGGAGGCAAGGGAGACAAAGCAGAGAAAGGCAAAAACAGUUGUUGAGUCUGGUGAAGAAAAUGAUGACACACAUGAAGGGGACGACAAAAUGACAACGCAAACACCACCAACAGUUGAAGAACUCACCGAAAGUGACAGUGAAGAACAACUUUCAGCGACAAUGACAAGAAGGAGAAAAGUAAAAACAGCUGUUUACUCUGGAGAUGAAAGUGAUGACACAAAUGAAGGAGAUUUCAAAAUUACAAUUCAACCAUCACCAACAGUUGAAGAACUCACCGAAAGUGACAGUGAAGAACAACUUUCAGCGACAAUGACAAGAAGGAGAAAAGUAAAAACAGCUGUUUACUCUGGAGAAGAAAGUGAUGACACAAAUGAAGGAGAUUUCAAAAUUACAAAUCAACCAUCACCAACAGUUCAAGAACUCACAGAAAGUGACAAUGAAGAAGAACAAAUUUCGGAGACAAAGGGAGAAGAGCACACAAAAAAAAAUGAUAAAGAGGACACGUACAGGACGUGCGUAGUCGGUCCAAAAGAAUUCAAAUUUAAGGUCGCAAGAAAAAAUUGGAUAAAAAUAAAGCCGGAAAAGGGAAAAAGACAACUGAGACCCCCAUGGACCGAUAUAUUCUACAAUGAAUUUAGAAAAAGCAACCCAUCGUGCACAUUGGCCUUUAAGUACCAAAAUAUUAGAACACGUGACAGCCGGAAAAAAAAAUCACCAUACCUCCGCGCCACAGCCAAGUGCACGUUUGAAGGUUGUGAGGCGGUUUACACUUUCACCAGGAAAGGCCCACCAAAAUACAACGCAAAAAAGAUUACUGUCAUGGUGACACGGUUUGGGGAAGUCAAACACCUUAAGUCUCAGAGAAAAUGUAGGCCUGCAAGAUACCUCAGGAGAGGAAAAAUAGCAAAAGCAGUAAAAAGUGGUGUGAGCAACUGCUAUUACGAAUUGCUGAAAAACACACCUGUGGAGGAGAUCAUGGCUGGUAACAUAACCAGAAGCCUCACAAAAGACGUGUUAAAAAUCAUAUCUUACGAGAUCAGAAGCGUUGCAAGGCUUCACAAUGACCAAUUGUUGGAGCUAAUGCUCACUCAGAGGAUUAUCAGAGAGAGUGGUCGGCAAACUCGGCAUGCAUCAUCGAACGGCUAUCUGCAGCUCCUCCAGAUUGACCCUUUUGCAACCCACUUAUACACUGAUGCGGGCCUGCAAAUUUUGGCUGAACAUUUGAGAGGACCCAUGCCCACUACCCUAUACCUCGAUGCAACAGGUGGGGUAGUUCAGAAAGUACCCCAUCAGUCAAAAAGAGUUCUCUAUUAUGCCCUGGUUCUGCCUGGAAUGGGCAAGGACAAGCCGCCUUUGCCAGUCGCGGAGUUCGUGACUAACAGCCAUAGUGUUCCAUCAAUAUCGCACUGGCUUAUGGAGUUCAAUAGGAGGCUGUCCCACAUUACCGGGAGAAAAAUUGCACAAAUAGAGACAGAUUACAGCUGGGCGUUGAUGAACAGUGUGCUCAUCUCUUUUAACCACGAGGAUGUCUCUGCAUACCUUUGCAGAGCAUUCGAAAUUGUGUCGGGACAACUCAAAGUCAUUCCAAAAUUCACUGUGCUCCAUUUGUGCUCUGCACAUAUACUUAAGGCAGUCUCCCAGGCCUUUGGGAGAACAACCAGUGACAGAGGCAUAAAGGAGUAUGCAACAUACAGUUUUGCAUACCUGCUGAACUGUACAAGCUUGCCAGAAGCACUUGAGGUUUUCUACCACAUGUGUGUGCUGUUUGAUGCAGAACAGCACACAGACUCAAUCAAUACCAGUGAAAGGUACCUGAAUGGCUGCAUUUUGCAGAGUCAACACAUGGAUAUUGAGGAAACACAAGAGGGGAGCAGGAUCUGUGAUUCCAGUGACCCUUCCAAUGGCAUUCUCGCAAGGUCCCCCUUCAUGCAGGCUUUUGACCUAAGAAGGGAGCAAGCCACAUGUGACGUCCUGUCUGAUGAGGAAGCAGACAAAAACAACAACUACCACUGCCCAGGUAUAAUAAAUGUCUUGCUUAAGACAUACAUGGGCAUCUUUCCCUUGUGGAGUGGUGUACUACUCGCUGAUCUAUCGAGGCACUCUAAAGGAUCUAUCACAAGAGGAACAGGGUGCAAAACACGGGAAACCAACUGCCAUGUCGAACUAUGGUUUAGGUUGGUGAAACACAGCAUUCUGUGCAAAAGAAAAUACCUCAGACCUGCAGAGUUUGUCUCUAAAAUGUUUGCCUCAGUGCAGGGGAGGUAUGUUGAACAUGUGAUUCAACAAAGCCUGCCAAUUGAUGUACUUCAGAGAAACCUUCAAAGCUCUGUUAAGCUGGAAGAUGACCCAGAAGAGCAAUGGUGUAAGAGGGACACCUCUUCUGGCAGUUCAAAGCGCAAGUCAAAAUAUUUCAAUCCUCCAAAAAACAUUCCAAACCCCAAGACCAAGACCAAAAGCAAGAAGAUCAUAAAAGUGGAGCAGAAUCAACGGGUUGAAGAUGCACAAUUAAACUUGCUGUGGAAAAAGAGGGGAACAGAGAUAAUUGUUGCAACCCUGCCAUCCCAAGUGAAGGGUCGGAGCCUCUUCAUCCACCACACUGAUCUACGGUGUCUACGACCCCACCUGUGGUUGACAGGAGAGGUAGGCGUAUUAAAAGCUCUUCCUCUCACUGCUAGUCUAUCUGUCUUUCAAUUUGUAGUCCUUCAAACUGAUGUAUUUGGAGGACUGAAGACCUCCAUUAACUCACACACACACACACACACACACACACACACACACACACACACACACACACACACACACACACACACACACACACACACACACACACACACACACGUAAUAAUGUCAAUGUGA